CCUACGGGGGGCUGCAGUGGGGAAUAUUGGACAAUGGGGGCAACCCUGAUCCAGCCAUGCCGCGUGUGUGAAGAAGGCCCUCGGGUUGUAAAGCACUUUCAGUGAGGAAGAACGCCUGGUGGUUAAUACCCAUCAGGAAAGACAUCACUCACAGAAGAAGCACCGGCUAACUCCGUGCCAGCAGCCGCGGUAAUACGGAGGGUGCGAGCGUUAAUCGGAAUUACUGGGCGUAAAGCGCGCGUAGGUGGCUUGAUAAGCCGGUUGUGAAAGCCCCGGGCUCAACCUGGGAACGGCAUCCGGAACUGUCCAGCUAGAGUGCAGGAGAGGAAGGUAGAAUUCCCGGUGUAGCGGUGAAAUGCGUAGAGUUCGGGAGGAAUACCAGUGGCGAAGGCGGCCUUCUGGACUGACACUGACACUGAGGUGCGAAAGCGUGGGUAGCAAACAGGAUUAGAUACCCCAGUAGUC
rnacentral:rRNA from 1 species